rnacentral:rRNA from 1 species
UGAACGCUGGCGGCGUGCUUAACACAUGCAAGUCGAACGAGAACGCUUUAGCUUGCUAAAGCUAGUAAAGUGGCGCACGGGUGAGUAACGCGUGGGUAAUCUACCCUCGAAUUUGGGAUAACAUUACGAAAGUGAUGCUAAUACCGGAUGAUAUCAGAAGAACUUUGGUUUUUCUGAUCAAAGGUGGCCUCUACAUGUAAGCUACUGUUUGGGGAUGAGCCCGCGUACCAUUAGCUAGUUGGUAGGGUAAAGGCCUACCAAGGCAUCGAUGGUUAGCUGGUCUGAGAGGAUGAUCAGCCACACUGGAACUGACACACGGUCCAGACUCCUACGGGAGGCAGCAGUGAGGAAUUUUGCGCAAUGGGGGAAACCCUGACGCAGCAACGCCGCGUGAGUGAUGAAGGCCUUAGGGUCGUAAAGCUCUGUCAAGCGGGAAGAAAGUUUUAUGUAUUAAUACUACAUAUUAUUGACGGUACCGCUAAAGGAAGCACCGGCUAACUCC